GCGUCGUGUUUCCACACAAUUUCUCGUUUUCCCAAUUUCCACUCGUGUUGAUAUAACUGUAUAUCAACACGGAAAAUGUUUUAUAUUUGUUAAAUAUCAACACGAGUGGAAUUGGGAAAACGAGAAAUUGUGUGGUAUAUAACUGUA
rnacentral:miRNA from 1 species